UGGCUGGCUUAGCAUGGUGGAUAACUUCGUAUAGCAAAAUAUUGCAUUUAUUGUUCAUAUAAAACUUGUGGGUUUCGAGUCCCACUGCUCACUCUACAUGGCGCGAUCCAGCUUUUUU
rnacentral:vault_RNA from 1 species